rnacentral:rRNA from 1 species
CGCUAUCACUCCUACGGGGAGGCAGCAGUAGGGAAUCUUCACAAUGGGCGCAAGCCUGAUGGAGCGAACACCGCGUGAGUGAAGAAGGGUUUCGGGCUCGUAAAGCUCUGUUGUUAAAGAAGAACACGUAUGAGAGUAACUGUUCAUACGUUGACGGUAUUUAACCAGAAAGUCACGGCUAACUACGUGCCAGCAGCCGCGGUAAUACGUAGGUGGCAAGCGUUAUCCGGAUUUAUUGGGCGUAAAGAGAGUGCAGGCGGUUUCCUAAGUCUGAUGUGAAAGCCUUCGGCUUAACCGGAGAAGUGCAUCGGAAACUGGAUAACUUGAGUGCAGAAGAGGGUAGUGGAACUCCAUGUGUAGCGGUGGAAUGCGUAGAUAUAUGGAAGAACACCAGUGGCGAAGGCGGCUACCUGGUCUGCAACUGACGCUGAGACUCGAAAGCAUGGGUAGCGAACAGGAUUAGAUACCCUGGUAG